rnacentral:lncRNA from 1 species
CACAGAUCCCUCCACCCCACCCCCACCACACACACAGGAACUUUGUAGUGGGUUCAGGUCGAGGGCCAGAGAGAGGUGAAUUUCUCUGUCCUGGCUGACGGACUGAGAGGAGGGACGAGAGACUGAUGGACAAGCCUCACAAGUCUCUGACUGGAGUGACCGCGCGUUAAGUCACAUCUCCCCUCCCGCCCCCAGGCUGGUAGCGGCAAGCAGGUAGGGAAGUGGAUGGGACCUUUGACAGGUCUCCAGACCUUCGUGGCGCCGACCCAGCGCGGGGCCCCAAGGCUGCUAUGAUCAUAUUUUCUGGAGCAUAACUCAGGACCAGCCGUCUGACGAGUCUGGGCAUGUGAGCCCUUCGAAGAGUUCAAGGGGAGACUGACAAGGGCUGCAGUGCAGGACCAAGGAGAUGGGGGCCACCCCACUGUGCGCGGACGCCCACCCUGAGAGGGAGGCGGUGAGAAGACGAACAGACUGCGCGCUUCUCUUUCCUCGAGGAUGCCCUCUGUGUUCAGCUCGCUGAAGGACCGCUGCCUCUUC